rnacentral:rRNA from 1 species
GAAGUGCCUUCUCUUAGGAGAGGGCUUUUCUUGAGUCUAGAAAGCUCAGGGAAUAAGGGGUGGGUAAGACGGGUGCCAGCCGCCGCGGUAAUACCCGCGCCCCGAGUGGUGACCACGAUUAUUGGGCUUAAAGCGUUCGUAGCCGGUUUUGUAAGUCCCUGGUGAAAUCGAUUGGCAAACCAAUCGGCUUGCUGGGGAUACUGCAGGACUUGGGACCGGGAGAGGUUAGAGGUACUCCAGGGGUAAGGGUAAAAUCUUAUAAUCCUUGGGGGACCACCUGUGGCGAAGGCGUCUAACUAGAACGGAUCCGACGGUGAGGGACGAAAGCUAGGGGAGCGAACCGGAUUAGAUACCCGGGUAGUCCUAGCUGUAAACGAUGCCCACUGGACAUUGGAGAUCCUACGGGGGUCUCCGGAGUCGUAGGGAAACCGUUAAGUGGGCCGCCUGGGGAGUACGGCCGCAAGACUGAAACUUAAGGGAAUUGGCGGGGGAGCACACAAGGGGUGGAGGCUGCGGUUCAAUUCGACUCAACGCGGGGAACCUUACCAGAGGCGACAGCAGAAUGAAGGUCAGACUCAAGAUCUUACCAGACACGCUGAGAAGUAGUGCAUGGCCGUCGUCAGUUCGUGCCGUGAGGUGUCGUCUUAAGUGACGUAACGAACAAGACCCACGCCAUAUGUUGCUAACCAAUUCUAUUGGUGCACUCAUAUGGGACCGCUAGCGAUAAGCUCGAGGAAGGUGUGGUCGACGGCAGGUCCGUAUGCCCUGAAUCCUCUGGGUUACACGCGGCCUACAAUGGACGGGACAAUGAGAUGCGACACCGAAAGGCGAAGCUAAUCUCCAAACCCGUUCUUAGUUCAGAUCGAGGGUUGCAACUCACCCUCGUGAAGCCGAAAUCCCUAGUAGUCGCUGGUUAGCAUCUAGCGGCGAAUACGUUCCUG